UACAUUUAAAGUAUUUGCCACUGAUGAUUCAAACGUCAGUUUUGACCAGUGUGGAGUAGUGCUUGUUUGUCGUUUCUCUGAUCACAAGUGCAGACAUGGUUUUAUGUGUAUGCAGCACUAUAUGCAACGCAACACAAUUAUUUUCAAGUUGAAGUCAUUAUAAUCACAGUGUCCCCACUGGAUGCAACAAAAGCUUCAUUUUUGUAAUGGGUUUUUAUUGGUUUUGUCAUUGCGCCAGGACACACAGCAUCACACUGUGGUAUGAGGCAUAACAUUUCAGUCACAAGCGUGAGGGAUUCAGGCAUUCACAAUGCACUGGAUAGCUGGUCGAUCAGCGUACAACUCACUUUUCAAAACAAUGAGUUUUUUAAAAACUGACAUGUUUCAAAAAGGUGGGGCAUAGAGGAGCAACAAUAAUGUACAUUAUGUGGGAAAUAAUGUGUUUUUUUUGCCUUAAACUGCAUAAACACAUUGCAUUUCACCAAAUACACAAAAUAAUGCUCUUUUUAGCAAUGUUAUAUGACCCAAUGGCUCCGUUUCCUUAUGUUAAUUCAGUAUUUGACAAAUAAAAAUGUCUAGCUUGAACUACAUUACAGUAACCUAGAGCUGUGACAGUUGCCGUGACAACCAAGUCACCCCGGUUGUCUGUUGCCACCACGGUUGUCAACUGCCACCUGCGGUACUGCACAUGAUGACAUGCACUCUAUAGAAAGCAUAAUACAAAGUUUUGUAUGCAAGUGUAAUAACAGUAAUACUAUAAGUCUAUAGUAAUUCACAAAUUACCUCAAACACCAUACACAGCAUUUUUUUUACAUUGGCAGGUCUGAGCGCAGGAAAAUACAGUUUAUGCAUUCAGCAAAUAAAUUUUGUGUUUGGUGAUGGACCUUGUUGGGGCAGUGAACAGUGAACCGUGUCUUCAUUGGAUGCAACACCGCCACAUCGCAACAGAUACAGAAGAGGGAAAUGUGCCGGCUCCCUGGUGAAGCUCUGCAUGCGAGGCUUUCGGACUGCUCUUCCAAGCAUUCAUCUCCCAAAUGUUCGUUCCCUUCCUAAUAAAACGGAUGAACAACUCUCAAACUCUGCUGCACUGUGCUUCUCUGAAACCUGGCUGAGUGAAGCCAUUCCGGACAACAUGUUCAAUCUGCCAGGCAACCAUCUGUUCAGAGUGGAUCGCAUUGCAAGUUAACCAGGAAAAUAAGAGAUGGUGGAUUGUGUUUCAACAAAAGUUGGUGUUCAGAUGCAACAAUGCUGAAAAAGGUAUGCUCUCCCAACUUAGAGGCACUCAUCAUAAACUGUAAACCUUUCUACUCGCCUUGGGAGUUUUCCUCUUUCAUUCUCGUGAAUGUGUACGUUCCUCCUGAUGUGUGCUUAAGCGCCUAGAUACAACAGCUGGCAGAACAAAUAACUGAAAUGGAGCAAAGGUACCCAGAAUCUAUUUUAAUAAUUUUUGGAGAUUUUAACAAAUCAAAUCUCUCCCGUAAUCUGCCAAAAUACAAGCAGCAAUUUAUUGGAUCACUGUUAUAAAGCAAUAAAGGAUGUAUAAACUCUGUUCCAUGGGCAGCUUUGGGGCUCUCUCAUCACUGUUUUCUGAUCACAUCUUAUACAGACCUACAGGCAGAAACUGAAAUCUGCUAUACCUGUUCUUUGGGGUGUUAAAAAAUGGACUAAUGAAGCAGAGAGUGAUUUACAAGGUUGUUUUGACCUCACUGACUGAAGUGUCUUUAAGUGGCAGCCACUGGUCUGGACGAGCCCACAGAGACUGUUACUUCUGUAACAAAUUAACUCAAAGUGAGAUGUACAUAAUUAAUCAUAACGGGUUAUUAUUAACUACAUUCAUCUACAGGAAUUACUUCUAGCAUUAUAGCAUUAAUAGUUCAAUAUUAUGAUUUGUUCAUCCGCAGCAGACAGCAGCAAACAACCAAGCGAGAAUAUAUAUGGAUUUUUAUUAAACUACACUACUGGGGAACAUGCAACAUCUGACUAAACACAAAACAUACACACAA